GAUGAACGCUGGCGGCGUGCCUAAUACAUGCAAGUCGAGCGAAUGGAUUAAGAGCUUGCUCUUAUGAAGUUAGCGGCGGACGGGUGAGUAACACGUGGGUAACCUGCCCAUAAGACUGGGAUAACUCCGGGAAACCGGGGCUAAUACCGGAUAACAUUUUGAACCGCAUGGUUCGAAAUUGAAAGGCGGCUUCGGCUGUCACUUAUGGAUGGACCCGCGUCGCAUUAGCGAGUUGGUGAGGUAACGGCUCACCAAGUCAACGAUGCGUAGCCGGCCUGAGAGGGUGGUCGGCAACACGGGGACUGAGACACGGCCCAGACUCCGACGGGAGGCAGCAGUAGGGAAUCUUCAGCAAUGGACGAAAGGCUGACGGAGCAACGCCGCGUGAGGGAUGAAGGCUUUCGGGUCGUAAAACUCUGUUGUUAGGGAAGAACAAGUGCUAGUUGAAUAAGCUGGAACCUUGACGGUACCUAACCAGAAAGCCACGGCUAACUACGUGCCAGCCGCCGCGGUAA
rnacentral:rRNA from 1 species